UACGUAGGGGGCAAGCGUUGUCCGGAAUCAUUGGGCGUAAAGCGCGCGUAGGCGGCCCGGUAAGUCCGUUGUAAAAGUCAAAGGCUCAACCUUUGAAAGCCGAUGGAUACUGCCGGGCUAGAAUCCGGAAGAGGCGAGUGGAAUUCCUGGUGUAGCGGUGGAAUGCGCAGAUAUCAGGAGGAACACCAAUAGCGAAGGCAGCUCGCUGGGACGGUAUUGACGCUAAGGCGCGAAAGCGUGGGGAGCAAACAGG
rnacentral:rRNA from 1 species